rnacentral:lncRNA from 1 species
CCACGGAGUUCACCCAACUGAACACACAAGUCUAACUUUUAAGAUCAGCCAGUUAAAUGAAAAACAGCCUUAGACCGGCCAUUAUAAAAACCCGGUACAAUUUAUGGUGGACCGUUCCUCUUAAAAAUGGAGGUUAAAAAACCUGAUUAUGAGACAACAGUAAAGCAAAGUCAAUGAAUGAAAGCCUUUAUUUCCUAUUAAAGGGAGAUGCGGUUAAUGUUAAGAUUAAGAAUGAAGUAGUUACACCUAAUAAAACCCAUCCUCUGCUCAAAAAGUUGAAGAAGAGAAGGCCUUCUAAGAAGAAGGGAGCAGGACAGGAACACGUAGGCAGCCCAAGAGUCUGGUUUAGUCAGUGCUGCUCAGAAGGUGAUCUUUCAAGACUUCUUGAAGGCUGCUGGGGUUCCUUGAACUACGAAGACGGUGAAUGGAUGUCUUUUGUUCCUGCUCCAUCUAGCGGUGCGUUUGCUUCUUCACAUGUACAAAAUUGGGGCCCGAGGCAAGGAUGGCUGUCUACUGGGAGUGCUUUUUUCUCUUUUUCACUUUGAAAAAGAAGAUAGUGAUUUAAUAAAUAAAAAUAAGCCUUCAGCUGUUGUCUAGUUCUUAUAUUUGAAAUCCCCUCUCUGACUAAUGUAGACAUUCCAGAGGAAAAUUCUCAGUAUUGUAAACACUUGAUAUUAUUUUUUCUGUUUUGGCGGAGCAGUUCUCUUUCUUAAGUUAUAUAAUUUUGGAGUAAGAAGCAGCCAUAGAGCUUAUCCAAUGAGAUAAUUUAUAUGACAACCUUUUGUAGAUAAUAAUUAUGGCAAACGUGACUUCUUGCUACAAGAUUUACGUCCCUCCGGCAGAUGAAGAAACCCCCUUGCCUAAGUUAAUUUUUUGCAGAGUUGAGACCAGCAACUAGGUCCCCCCACUUCCAGUCCAGUGUUCUGUCUACCGUGGGGCGACUUACUGAUGCAUUGGCUUACCUCGGAAAGAUACUAGCGUUAACUCCUCUAUUAUUUUCUAGUUUAAAAUAAAACCCUUAAACAGUUUCUUGCCUGUGAGCUUAGUUUCAGUCCCCCGCCUCCUCUUCUGCCACAACCUUCUUUGAUGUGAUUUUGUGCUGGAAAGUCCAAUGUGUGUUUCACUAUUUUACAAGUACGGUUGAUUCUUGUUAUUUGUGGUAGUUAUGUUCUAGAAAGUCACGGUAAACACUGAAUUAGUAAGUACUGAACCGUUUGUCGUAGGGGAAAUACAGGAUUAGGUUCUCGUGAGCCUCUAGUUUCAACGUUUUCAUCGACAGGUCAAUGCGUAGUCUUAUGUGUUUUUCUGUUUAAAGACACCUUAUUUAAUAUAUAUUAUUGAUCUGUUAAUAUGAAACUCAUGUCCAACAGCACUAUAACUCAUGCCUGUACAGAGCUUAUCUACACAAUGUAUUUUCUCUGUAAGGCGCAUCAUGGCCUUUUUGCCCGUAGAACUUCAGCACUGUGCUUGGAGGUCAUUUUAAACUGCAAAAUCACCCCCCAAAAAAGCACAAAAAUAAAAAAUGUCAUUAAAUAGACCACAAAAAGGGCACUUAUUUUCAGUGGUGUUUUGGGAACAAGAAGGAAGAGUGUCACUUGUUUGACCUCAGCUGGGAACUUUAGUGUCAGAUGCCUCAAGCUUUUCACUGCACGUGUCCACAAAUGACUAUGAAAACACUGCAGGUAUUGAUUUUGAGGUUACAAAUAAAUUUUAGUGAGUAGGCAAAUUUACAAAUGCAGAAUCUGAGAAUUUUGAGGAUCGACUGUCUAUGUGACACCUGCACCUGAGAGAGACUAGAGGUGUCCAUGUGGCCCUUGAAGUACUUGGGGCAUGUUUCAUGCCUUUUAUAUGAUUUAAACAAGUGAUUUGCAAAGGGGUACAAUGAGAGAAGGGGUAUAUGGAGUUUGAAAAUAACAGUACUUGUUCCAUUUAUUUGUUACUUAUGUUGAAUUUCAAGUAAUAAAGGAGGAUGUGAGAAUUUUAUGCUCAUAAAGGAAGUUUGACUUUAAAAAUACUGAGAAACGUAGGUUUGGUUUUUUCUUUAGAAUGAGAGGCUUCUUUGCUAAGGUCCCUGGUUGGCUACAGGUUUUGACUCUGAAGAUGACGUGAGUUUUAAUACAGCUUGUCCUGGUUCUGCUGUCAAAAAUUCCAUGUUAGCCUGGCUUAAGACUUAAGAGACAAAUAGAUGGCGCAGGCCCGCAUGUGCACACACGUGCACCCACGCUCUUACAAAGUGUAGAGGAAGAGUAGUUUUAAACUAAGAUGAGGAUGAAAUGACGAAAGGUAAUUGUCAUUCCUUGCCCGUUUAUUCUUUUAAGGUAAUAAUGUGUGAUGGAAGUGAAAACAGCAAAAAUACCUAAAGCUUAGGCCAGGGUUUGUAAAUUUAAAUGUGUGCAAUGGACCUAGGACUGAAUCAUGCCAAGAAUAAGAAAAUGGAGACUAUGGAGAUGGCGGGGAGAAUGAGUGUCCCUUUUAAAGGGGGUGGCAGCCUGUGGGAAUGGAGGACUAAAAUUGCCAAUGCUUCAGGGGAGGACAGAAAAUUUAGAUUUUUCUGUGAACACUGAUUUUUUAAUGUUGGUAGCUACUUUGAAAUAAAAUUUAAAUAUUGUGUGGGUAUAUAAUAAAGAAUUCAGCCAGCCUUGGUCCCUGGGUCCUGGGAAGGAGGUUCUAUAUCCUUGGAAUUUUCUGAGCGGCAAGAAUACUUUUCUUAUUCCUGAUGGGCCCCCCAGACUACACCUAAUAGUUUAUGAGAUGAUGUGGUUCAACCAAUCAAGCUGACAUGAUGAAGCCCCAAUAAAAACUGUACACACUGAAGCUUGGAUGAACUUCCCUGAUUGGCAACGCUCUGUGUGGUCACACAUCAAUGUGUUGGGAGGAUAAUAUGUCUCUGAAGACACAGGAGAGAACGAUGGAAGCUUCACCUUUGGGGCCCUCCCAGACGUCACCUAUGUAUCUCUCCCUCUGGUUGGUUCUGAUUUGAAUCCUUUUGCUAUAAUAAAACUGUAAUCGUAAGUAUUGCA